GAUGAACGCUGGCGGCGUGCCUAAUGCAUGCAAGUCGAGCGACGCAUACCGGAGGGGUAACCCACUGGUAUGACGGAGCGGCGAACGGGUGAGUAACACGUGAGCAACCUGCCCCACAGACCGGGAUAGCCCAGGGAAACCUGGAUUAAUACCGGAUACCCUCGGGCGACCUCAUGGCCGAUCGAGGAAAUGCCUUUGUGCUGUGGGAUGGGCUCGCGGCUUAUCAGCUAGUUGGUGGGGUAACGGCCUACCAAGGCAUCGACGAGUAGCUGGUCUGAGAGGACGAUCAGCCACACUGGAACUGAGACACGGUCCAGACUCCUACGGGAGGCAGCAGCAGGGAAUCUUGCGCAAUGGGCGAAAGCCUGACGCAGCAACGCCGCGUGGGGCAUGAAGGCCUCGGGUUGUAAACCCUUUCAGGAGGGAAGAAAUUGACGGUACCUCCAAAGAAGGACCGGCCAACUACGUGCCAGCAGCCGCGGUAAUACGUAGGGUCCGAGCGUUAUCCGGAAUCAUUGGGCGUAAAGAGCUCGUAGGCGGUUCAGCAAGUCGGCUGUGAAAGUCUGAGGCUCAACCUCAGAAUUGCAGUCGAUACUGCUGUGACUCGAGUCCGGUAGAGGAGAAUGGAAUUCUCGGUGUAGCGGUGAAAUGCGCAGAUAUCGAGAGGAACACCAGUAGCG
rnacentral:rRNA from 1 species